AGCUUCUCCUGAAGAAUGAGAACACUUGCCAGCCCUUUGCCUAUGUUAUCACCUGGAAUAAACUGGAUGUGUCUAAAUGGAACCUGCCUCCUUUGGGGAGCGCAUACUCCCGCCAGGUCACCACAGCCACCAUGACCACCUCAUGCCUCCCAUCCACCUGUUUCAUUAAUUUGUGCCUGGACCAUUUUCAGUUUUCUGGAUGACAUGGGUGAGGAGGAGGAAACUCAGAAACCCAAGAGAAGACUCUGGUGCCGGGAGACUAAUGGAGUUGCAACCCAGCUGUGGGCCAGGAACCAGAGCGCUGUCUGCAGACCAUGAAUUGUCAUAGUACAGACAGGGCACAGUAUGAAAGAAGACACAUCACAAAUGGGGAAGCUGAUAAAAUAAUUAGAAGACAAACCUUCCAACGAGCAAGAAAGAAAAAAAAAUGGCAGUUGAAAAACAGAUGGUGGCAACCUGUCCCAUUGAAUAGGUUUUUGAGAUGUGAGGGGUAGGUUUUAAAACAACCCAAGGAAAUAAUUUUACAUCUGAGAUGGCCAGAGAUUAUGCAAUUUCUUGUGGAUCUUGGAAAGCCAAGAGCUGAUGCCCACAACUAAAGCCCCAAGAAACAGGAUGCACACAGAGCAAAAGCCAACAGGGAAUUGGAAUGAAGAACACUGGUCACCACUCAGACUCCAUGAGUGAGAUGAAGGAUAUUUAAAUAUUGUAACUUGGAAGGAAUUUAAAUAUUGAAACACUUUGGGAGGCCGAGGCAGGCGGAUCACAAGGUCAGGAGUUCGAGACCAGCCUGACCAACAUGGUGAAACUCCGUCUCUACUAAAAAUACAAAAAUUAGCCAGGCAUGGUGGUGCACACAUGUAGUAAUCUCAGCUACUCAGGAGGCUGAGGCAAGGGAAUCACUUGAACCCGGGAGGCAGAGGUUGCAGUGAGUUGAGAUCACACCACUGCACUCCAACUUGCGACAGAGCAAG
rnacentral:lncRNA from 10 species